rnacentral:lncRNA from 1 species
AUGGAAAGGUUGGUGAAUGGAAGGAUAAUGCACUUUAUUGAAGAAAGGGGGGUGAUGACUAGUUGUCAGAGUGGUUUUAGAAAGGGGAGAAGUACUAUUGAUUCAGUCAUAUGUCUUGAGGAUGAAAUAAGAAAAGCACAGGUAAAGAAAGAGACUGUUGUGGCAGUAUUUUUAGAUGUGGAAAAAGCAUAUGACAUGCUAUGGGUAGAGGGCCUUUUAAUCAAAAUGCAUAUGUUAGGAAUUGGGGGAAAUAUGUUUAACUGGGUGAUGGACUUUUUAAAUAAUAGAAGUAUUCAGGUGAAAAUAGGGAAAGAAACAUCUAGAAGGUGCUUGGUAGAAAAUGGGACACCACAAGGAAGUGUGAUUAGUCCAUUACUGUUCAACAUCAUGAUUAAUGAUAUUUUUGCUAAUGUUCAGCCAGGAAUUGGAAGAUCACUAUUUGCAGAGGAUGGUAGUUUAUGGAAAAGGGGGAAAAAUGUAAAGUACAACCUGAAGAAGGUACAGGAAGCUCUAACACUAGUGGAGGACUGGGGAAGGAAAUGGGGCUUUAGAUUCUCUAUUGAGAAGACAAAGGUUAUGUUUUUUACUCGAAAGAAAAUAGAUGAAAGUAUAAAACUGGAGCUGUAUGGUAGGAAUUUGGAGAGGGUUAAAAGUUUUACAUUUCUUGGUGUGUUUUUUGAUACAAGACUUACAUGGAGGGAUCAUGUAUCAAAAGUAGUAGAUAAAUGUAAAAAAGUAAUGAAUUUAAUGAGAUGUCUUGCUGGAACAGUAUGGGGAGCAGAUAUAGCUUCUUUGAAGCAAAUUUAUGUAUAUUUAAUCAGAGCAAGAAUUGAAUAUGGAUGUUUGGUUUAUGGAUCUGCAGCCAAAUCAGUUUUAGCUGGAUUAGAUAAAGUCCAAGCUAUGGCACUUAGAAUAUGUACAGGAGCUGUGCGAUCCUCUCCAGUAUGCUCUUUGCAGGUAGAAACAGGAGAAAUGCCACUCUGUCUAAGAAGAAAGCAGCUUCAGGCUAACUAUUGGGUCAGUUUGAUGGGUCAAAGGGAUGACCACCCAGUUAAAAUAACAAUACAGGAAAGCUGGGAGAGAGAGGUGGCAAGACUUCCAAGUUUUGGAUGGACCGGGAAGGCAGUGGCACGGGAAAUGUCAAUAUAUGACAAGAACUUUUGUACAGGAGUACUGUGGCCAUCAGUUCCUUUAUGGGAACUGGAGGUACCAAAGAUCGACUUAGAGGUACUUGAGAUUAAAUCAGAUAAUCCUGAAUCAAAUUUGGUGCAAUACAAUAUCAAGAUCACAUAUUAA